UACAGAGGUCUCAAGCGUUGUUCGGAUUCAUUGGGCGUAAAGGGUGCGUAGGUGGCGCUGUAAGUCGGGUGUGAAAUUUCGGAGCUUAACUCCGAAACUGCAUUCGAUACUGCGGUGCUUGAGGACUGGAGAGGAGACUGGAAUUUACGGUGUAGCGGUGAAAUGCGUAGAUAUCGUAAGGAAGACCAGUGGCGAAGGCGGGUCUCU
rnacentral:rRNA from 1 species